UAAAAAAAAUAUGUCACAAUCCUUCCUCUUUUUCAUGUAACUCUCACUAUUUUCUUGAAUUUGAUUUCAUCGGUCGUUUAAAAAGAUUCGAUUUUGAGUUUGUGGAUUUUGUUACAGCGGAGGAUCAAAUCGAACGAUAGUGUAUACUAUAGAGGAAGGGAAUGAUUUUUCUUAUACUCCUAAAUGAUGAUGAUCAUUCUUCAUCCAAUUUAUAGGUAUAAACUUUAAGUUGAUAAAUAUGUAGGAAAUAUAAAAUUGUAAGAAAAGAUUAAUUUUAAUUGUUUAUGGGAAACUUUGGAGCAUGUCCCAAAUUCCUGUUUAUUAAUAUAAAUAAAAUAUAAUAUGAAUUUCGCCUUAUACAUCUUUAUUCAAUAAUAUUUUUGAGAUAGUUCUUUAAAAAAUUAUCAAAUAUAAACCAAAAUAAAAAUUAAAAAAAA
rnacentral:sRNA from 1 species